CUACGGGUCGCUGCAGUGAGGAAUAUUGCACAAUGGGGGAAACCCUGAUGCAGCAACGCCGCGUGGAGGAUGACGCAUUUCGGUGUGUAAACUCCUUUUAUAUGUCAAGAAAAUGACGGUAGCAUAUGAAUAAGCACCGGCUAACUCCGUGCCAGCAGCCGCGGUAAUACGGAGGGUGCAAGCGUUACUCGGAAUCACUGGGCGUAAAGGACGCGUAGGCUGGUUGGUAAGUCAGGUGUGAAAUCCUACAGCUUAACUGUAGAACUGCACUUGAAACUACCAACCUAGAGUAUGGGAGGGGGAGAUGGAAUUAGUGGUGUAGGGGUAAAAUCCGUAGAUAUCACUAGGAAUACCUAAAGCGAAGGCGAUCUCCUGGAACAUUACUGACGCUAAGGCGUGAAAGCGUGGGGAGCAAACAGGAUUAGAUACCCCGGUAGUC
rnacentral:rRNA from 1 species